rnacentral:sRNA from 12 species
CAGCGUCUGCUGCAUGACCGUCAUGGCGAUCAUGCCCGUACGCCUUUUGAAUCUGGUCGCGCCGCUGGCUCACAAGGCCACCGUCAGGCACGCCAGGGAUACCACCAGCCACGGCUGGCACUGGUCCCGUGCAGCCUCCAGGGUGAUCGAUCUCCAUCUUCGCCCUGGCGGUGUGAAUAGCGCGAUACGACG